rnacentral:rRNA from 1 species
AUUAAUUCGAUGCAACGCGAAAAACCUUACCUACCCUUGACAUGUCAGGAACCUCUGAGAGAUUAGAGGGUGCCCGAAAGGGAGCCUGAACACAGGUGCUGCAUGGCUGUCGUCAGCUCGUGUCGUGAGAUGUUGGGUUAAGUCCCGCAACGAGCGCAACCCUUGUCAUUAGUUGCUACGAAAGGGCACUCUAAUGAGACUGCCGGUGACAAACCGGAGGAAGGUGGGGAUGACGUCAAGUCCUCAUGGCCCUUAUGGGUAGGGCUUCACACGUCAUACAAUGGUACAUACAGAGGGCUGCCAACCCGCGAGGGGGAGCUAAUCCCAGAAAGUGUAUCGUAGUCCGGAUUGUAGUCUGCAACUCGACUACAUGAAGUUGGAAUCGCUAGUAAUCGCGGAUCAGCAUGUCG